rnacentral:rRNA from 1 species
UACAGAGGAGCCAAGCGUUGUCCGGAUUGACUGGGCGUAAAGCGCACGCAGGCGGAUGCGCGCGUGGGGUGUGAAAUCUGGCCGCUUAACGGCCAGGCGCCAUCCCAUACGGCGCGUCUGGAGUGAUGCAGAGGUCGGUGGAAUUGCCGGUGUAGUGGUGAAAUGCGUAGAUAUGUGGAGGAACACCGAUGGCGAAGGCAGCCCCCUGGGUUAACACUGACGCUCAUGCACGAAAGCGUGGGGAGCAAACAGG